AACGAACGCUGGCGGCAGGCCUAACACAUGCAAGUCGAGCGCCUCGCAAGAGGAGCGGCAGACGGGUGAGUAACGCGUGGGAAACUACCCUUUGGUACGGAACAACUCGGCGAAAGCUGAGCUAAUACCGUAUGUGUCCUCCGGGAGAAAGAUUUAUCGCCAAAGGAUGUGCCCGCGUCGGAUUAGCUAGUUGGUGGGGUAACGGCCCACCAAGGCGACGAUCCGUAGCUGGUCUGAGAGGAUGAUCAGCCACACUGGGACUGAGACACGGCCCAGACUCCUACGGGAGGCAGCAGUGGGGAAUAUUGGACAAUGGGGGCAACCUUGAUCCAGCCAUGCCGCGUGAGUGAUGAAGGCCUUAGGGUUGUAAAGCUCUUUCGCCCGCGAAGAUAAUGACUGUAGCGGGAGAAGAAGCCCCGGCUAACUUCGUGCCAGCCGCCGCGGUAACAC
rnacentral:rRNA from 1 species